GGCACAAAUUCGAAGUAGAGUAGUUUAGUAGGGUCAGAUGAUCCUUCCAAUCUACUUUACUUCAAAUUUGGGCCU
rnacentral:pre_miRNA from 1 species